GUAAUCUUCUAUUAGAGUUUCUAUUUUCAUCCCAACAGUUUUACUUUCUUACUUAUACCAUAGCGUCAUUAGAAUUUUUAUAUCAAUUGCAAAGAGCCAACAAUGAAAGAGACUGAUUGCUUCUUUCACAUUUUUGCAUGCGCAAUAGCAUAGUGAGUUUUAGUACGCAUGAUUGCAAGACCAAAAUUAUUUUCUCAUGGAAUUGAGUGAGAUUAAAAUUAAAUAAUCCUGACAAUCUAAUACUUUAACAAAUUAUCUUCAUGUAUUUCCUUUGUUCUUUGAUUUGUUCAAUCUUUGCUAUAGUGAAAAAAGAUUCUUUUGGUGCCGGUUUGCCAUGAGAAUCAAGAUACAAAUCAGCCUGAUCUUACGAAUUU
rnacentral:lncRNA from 1 species